GCACUGCUGAGGAGUCCACCAAUAGAACGAAACGGCCGUCCAGUGC
rnacentral:hammerhead_ribozyme from 1 species